GUCGAGAAUCAUUCGCAAUGGGGGAAACCCUGACGGUGCGACGCCGCGUGGAGGAUGAAGGCCCUAGGGUCGUAAACUCCUGUCAUCAGAGAGUAAGGCUUAUCGGUUAAUAACCGGUAAGAUUGAUAGUAUCUGAAGAGGAAGGGACGGCUAACUUCGUGCCAGCAGCCGCGGUAAUACGAAGGUCCCAAGCGUUGUUCGGAUUUACUGGGCGUAAAGCGUGCGUAGGCGGCGAGGUAAGUCAGAUGUGAAAUCCCGGGGCUCAACCCCGGAACUGCAUCCGAUACUGCCCUGCUAGAGUAAUGGAGGGGCAUCUGGAAUUCAUGGUGUAGCAGUGAAAUGCGUAGAUAUCAUGAGGAACACUAGUGGCGAAGGCGAGAUGCUGGACAUUUACUGACGCUGAGGUACGAAGGCCAGGGUAGCGAAAAGG
rnacentral:rRNA from 1 species